AUUGAACGCUGGCGGCAUGCCUUACACAUGCAAGUCGAACGGCAGCACGGGAGCUUGCUCCUGGUGGCGAGUGGCGAACGGGUGAGUAAUACAUCGGAACGUACCCUGAAGUGGGGGAUAACGUAGCGAAAGUUACGCUAAUACCGCAUAUUCUGUGAGCAGGAAAGAGGGGGAUCGCAAGACCUCUUGCUUUAGGAGCGGCCGAUGUCGGAUUAGCUAGUUGGUGAGGUAAAGGCUCACCAAGGCGACGAUCCGUAGCGGGUCUGAGAGGAUGAUCCGCCACACUGGGACUGAGACACGGCCCAGACUCCUACGGGAGGCAGCAGUGGGGAAUAUUGCACAAUGGGCGAAAGCCUGAUGCAGCGACGCCGCGUGAGGGAUGAAGGCCUCGGGUUGUAAACCGUCUUUCAGUAGGAGAAGCGCAAGUGACGGUACCGUAC
rnacentral:rRNA from 1 species